CUGGGAUAACUUCGGGAAACCGGAGCUAAUACCGGAUAACAUUUGGAACCGCAUGGUUCUAAAGUGAAAGAUGGUUUUGCUAUCACUUAUAGAUGGACCCGCGCCGUAUUAGCUAGUUGGUAAGGUAACGGCUUACCAAGGCAACGAUACGUAGCCGACCUGAGAGGGUGAUCGGCCACACUGGAACUGAGACACGGUCCAGACUCCUACGGGAGGCAGCAGUAGGGAAUCUUCCGCAAUGGGCGAAAGCCUGACGGAGCAACGCCGCGUGAGUGAUGAAGGGUUUCGGCUCGUAAAACUCUGUUAUUAGGGAAGAACAAAUGUGUAAGUAACUGUGCACAUCUUGACGGUACCUAAUCAGAAAGCCACGGCUAACUACGUGCCAGCAGCCGCGGUAAUACGUAGGUGGCAAGCGUUAUCCGGAAUUAUUGGGCGUAAAGCGCGCGUAGGCGGUUUCUUAAGUCUGAUGUGAAAGCCCACGGCUCAACCGUGGAGGGUCAUUGGAAACUGGGAAACUUGAGUGCAGAAGAGGAAAGUGGAAUUCCAUGUGUAGCGGUGAAAUGCGCAGAGAUAUGGAGGAACACCAGUGGCGAAGGCGACUUUCUGGUCUGUAACUGACGCUGA
rnacentral:rRNA from 1 species